GAUCUGAAUUACAAUAAGAUGCCUCUAUUUACAUCUACCACAGCUGGCUAUCAACUCUCUUGAAAGGUGGAAGAGAUGAUCUGCACUAUAAGCACAUAACCAUCCUCAGCGGAUUUCCAGCAGGGAAUCAGUGUUUCUGUGCAAGUUCAGACAGGUGCAGAUUUUGCAUUUGUGCCAGUAAGUUUUAUGUUGGCUGUGAUACCCUCCUCUUUCCAGUUCAGACAGUGCUUAGAACAGGGAAGCAUUAAAUUUCUCCCUCAUGUCCCAUGCC
rnacentral:lncRNA from 12 species